rnacentral:rRNA from 1 species
GAUGAACGCUGGCGGCGUGCCUAAUACAUGCAAGUCGAGCGAACGGACGAGAAGCUUGCUUUUCUGAUGUUAGCGGCGGACGGGUGAGUAACACGUGGAUAACCUACCUAUAAGACUGGGAUAACUUCGGGAAACCGGAGCUAAUACCGGAUAAUAUUAUGAACCGCAUGGUUCAAAAGUGAAAGACGGUCUUGCUGUCACUUAUGGAUGGAUCCGCGCUGCAUUAGCUAGUUGGUAAGGUAACGGCUUACCAAGGCAACGAUGCAUAGCCGACCUGAGAGGGUGAUCGGCCACACUGGAACUGAGACACGGUCCAGACUCCUACGGGAGGCAGCAGUAGGGAAUCUUCCGCAAUGGGCGAAAGCCUGACGGAGCAACGCCGCGUGAGUGAUGAAGGUCUUCGGAUCGUAAAACUCUGUUAUUAGGGAAGAACAUAUGUGUAAGUAACUGUGCACAUCUUGACGGUACCUAAUCAGAAAGCCACGGCUAACUACGUG